AAGAAUCGCCCCGUUUUUUGAAAUGGGUUCUAUUCCCAAACCGUGUAUACAUUACCUUUGUUGCUUUGGCGGGCCGCCUUCGGGCGUUGGCUCCGGUCGACUGCGCCCGCCAGAGGACCCAAACUCGUUCGUUUAGUGAUGUCUGAGUACUAUAUAAUAGUUA
rnacentral:misc_RNA from 1 species